UGCAUAGCCGACCUGAGAGGGUGAUCGGCCACACUGGAACUGAGACACGGUCCAGACUCCUACGGGAGGCAGCAGUAGGGAAUCUUCCGCAAUGGGCGAAAGCCUGACGGAGCAACGCCGCGUGAGUGAUGAAGGUCUUCGGAUCGUAAAACUCUGUUAUUAGGGAAGAACAUAUGUGUAAGUAACUGUGCACAUCUUGACGGUACCUAAUCAGAAAGCCACGGCUAACUACGUGCCAGCAGCCGCGGUAAUACGUAGGUGGCAAGCGUUAUCCGGAAUUAUUGGGCGUAAAGCGCGCGUAGGCGGU
rnacentral:rRNA from 1 species